CCUACGGGACGCAGCAGUGGGGAAUAUUGGACAAUGGGCGAAAGCCUGAUCCAGCCAUGCCGCGUGUGUGAAGAAGGCCUUCGGGUUGUAAAGCACUUUCAGUGGGGAAGAAAGCCUUGGGGCUAAUACCCUCGAGGAAGGACAUCACCCACAGAAGAAGCACCGGCUAACUCCGUGCCAGCAGCCGCGGUAAUACGGAGGGUGCGAGCGUUAAUCGGAAUUACUGGGCGUAAAGCGCGCGUAGGCGGUCUGAUAAGCCGGUUGUGAAAGCCCCGGGCUCAACCUGGGAACGGCAUCCGGAACUGUCAGGCUAGAGUGCAGGAGAGGAAGGUAGAAUUCCCGGUGUAGCGGUGAAAUGCGUAGAGAUCGGGAGGAAUACCAGUGGCGAAGGCGGCCUUCUGGACUGACACUGACGCUGAGGUGCGAAAGCGUGGGUAGCAAACAGGAUUAGAUACCCUUGUAGUC
rnacentral:rRNA from 1 species